GGCGCCGCGAGGUUUUAAAGCCCGGGCCCUGCGGCCCGCAGCAAGUGGGGUGAGCGCCGCGUGCGUUUCGGGAGCCGGCCUGCUCCCUUCCCCCUUGGUGGAGGUGAGACAGGUUUCACAUGUAGCCCAUGCUGGCCUAGAACUCAACUGUAUAGCCCAGGCUGGUCUUGAACUCAUGGCGAUUCUCCUGCCUCAGUCUCCAGAGUUGCUGAGAUUACAGAUGGGGAAACUGAGGCUUCUAGGGCAUCUGGGAAACUGCAUUUGGGACUUGAACUCUGGUCUGGUGUUUGGGUAAGGAGGCCAGCUACUGGCAGCCUGGGUCCUGUGUGGAGGGGAAGUGGAUGCAUGCCUGAGGCCAAUGUGGGGCUCGGUGCCUGUAGCCCCGCCCCGGGGGUGUGGGCAGGGGCCUGCCUGGUGGCUGAGGAGACGGCCACAGGGGGAGGCCGGGUGGUUUCCUUCUGCCCUUCAGGCUUCUAGGAAGUGGCGCCAGAUGGGGUGAGGUCACUUCCUCACCCACCUGCCCGCCCCCCUCAGCUUCCUCUCUCCUCGUGUGGCCCCAUUUGGUCGCCCGGGCAUGGGGUGGGAGGCUGGGGGAGUGGGGAAAGGGCUGGAGCUGCCCUGGAGCUCCUGCAGCCGCCUGGCCUAGAAGGGCUCUGGGCAUCUGUCGACACCUUGGGCUGGGACUGAGGUUGCUGCCAGGGGCCAGGAAUUCAGGGAGGACCCAGAGAGGGCAGUGUCCCCAAAUCAUAUCACCUCCUUUGCUCUCUCUUCCCUUCAGGUGCCAGCCUCUGGCCCCGCCCAGUGCCUCCCACCCUUUGCCAUGGCCGGCUGGGGUUCCUGGGGAUGGGAUUUGCUGUCUCACAAAUCACAUUGCCAGGGAUUUCCAACCGACCCUGAGCUCUGCCUCCGGGCCCACCACUGCCACUGAGGAUGCCUGUCCAUGCCUGGGGACGGGGUGUCGGAGAGGCCCUGCCACCGCCACCACCACUGCUGUAGCCGUCGCCAGGCCUGAGGAGCAGGGCUUAGCUGCUUGUGAGCAGAGUCCGCACCAAGUCGUGUUCACAGUGGCUAAGUUCCGUCCCCUGGGCCCCGCCUCCACCGCCCCACCUUUCUGCUGGUUGCCCAGUUCCCCGGGCUCUGCCUCCCGUGCCUACUGAGCUGAAACACAGUUGAUUUGUGCAGACUGGCUCAGUUCAGCAGGAACAGGGGUCAAGCCCCCUGGAGCCUGGAGCGCACAGCCUGGCUGUCCUGACACGGCGACCAGACAGGCGCAGAUGUGUCUGAAGGAGGGGACACGGGAGGACGGGGUGAGAGGGCUGGCCUGGGUCUAGGCAUCUGCUGCAGGCCACCUCUCUUUUUUGUUUUUUGAUACCAUGGAUGGAACUCGGGUCCUUGCACUUUCGCAGCAGGCAGUGAAACCACUGAGCUAAAUCCCCAGCCCAAGGCCACCUCUCUUGGUCUGCACAGAGGGACCCUGUUGUCCCAACAUGGCCAUACCUCGAACAGGCUGAGCCGUUGUCCCAGGGUAGACAGGACAGAGGGUCCUUCCUUAAGCCAGCUGUGCUUCUCUGGGCCUAGCACCUCAGCUCCUCCCUGUUUUGAUUCGUGAGAUUGAGUCUCCCUGUGUAAUCCAGGCUGGCUUUGAAUUAUGUAGCCAGGCAGUCCUCCUGCCUCAGCUUCCUGAGUGCUGGGAUGACAUGUGUGUGUCACCAUGCCUGGCCCUGCCCCUCCUGUCCUAAGCCUAGCGGGGAGUGCUGAACCUUCCCAGCUGCCUGUUACCCAAGAGGAAGCUGCCUUAGGCCCCCUGACCGUUAAGUGCCAACUCACAGCUUCUGGAACUAGCUGGCCCGACUUGGCCGAGUGAGUGUGCCUGGGCCCCUCUCCCUGGCCCUGAGGGUUCUUAAUGACACCCACUCCACGUGGGGUAGGGAACAGUUCCAUGCGGCCCCAAGAGGGACAUGAUCAGGCCUCCCCUGUCCUGGGGUUGAGGUCAUCCUGUCCUGCUCUCCUUGGUGGUCCUGGGCUUGGAAGAGGUGAAUUGUGCCACUGUCCCCAAGUCAGAUGGGAGGAAGCUCUUUGGGCCUGGAGGGAGGGUCCAGUGAAAUGCCCAGACUGUCAGGGCUGGCCUGGUGUUGCCCAGGUAGGGGCAGACAGGAGCUUGGGUGGAGGGAGGGCAGCAUUUGUAUUGUGCCCCGCAUGUGAUGCCCAGUGAAAUAAAAGUUGUCCCAGCUUCACUCCUGAGGCUCUGAUGGUCCGUGAUUUGCUCCUGUCUCUGUCCUUACAGUUACAGCUUUUUAUUCUUUCCGAUGCUGGGGGUGGAACUCCGGCCUCGUGCGGGCUGGACCAGCGCUCACCACCGAGUUACCUUGCCGGCUACACAUGCAGCCUUUGCAUUCUGGAGCAGGGGCUCCAGAUCUCACCGGCUCCCAACCCCCGCUCUGAGGGUGGCGGGAAAAGCCAGACUUGUUUUCCUGUGGACCAAGGGGGGCCCUGAGCUUGGAGAGGUGACUUUGAGGGAUGUCCUGGGGUGACACUAUUGUGGGAGGAACAAAAAUGAGGGUUACUAUGAAUGAUGACUGAGCCAAGAGGGAGGGAAGGGAGCCUGAUCUAGGGAUGGUGGGGGUGGAUUGGGCCUCAGGACAAACUGGACCGGGAGACCACUGGACGUGAGGGUCCUGAGCUAAUGGCAUUUGGGGACCACUGGGACUUAACCUGGGCUGUGGGGAGAGAUCUAGGGUGCCUGCUGUCUUAAGAAUGCUGAAAUUUUUUUCGAGACGGUCUUGAUUGUAGGCUGGCUCGGAGUCUCGGCAAGCCUCCUGCCUCAGCCUCCGGAGUCCCAGGAUGACAGGCGUUGCCACCACGCCCAGCUAGAAGGUGUAUGCGUAAGGCGGAGGAGAUUCCUGGUCCAAGGGGGAGAUAUUCAGGUGGCAGGGGACUAAGUGGCCCCCAGUCGGUAGGGAUACCCGUGGGUAACGGGAGCAGUGAGGGCGCCCGAGCCCCACGAGGGGCACCAAGGCGGACCAACGGCAGAGUGGGAAGCCCGGAUCGUCGCCCCACCCCGGCCCAGUCUAAGGCAGCCUGCGGGCGGGUCCAAGCCUCCGCAGCACGUACCUGCAGGAAUGAGCGGGGCUGGAGGUAGGGCCGUCGCCGAUUGGCCCCCUAGAUCCCAGGGCGUCACUCGGAACCAAUCGGCGUACCCAGCGCAGCCGGAGUCCCGCCCCCGAUUGCUCGCGCUGCCACGGCACCCUCUAG
rnacentral:lncRNA from 1 species